rnacentral:lncRNA from 1 species
AUGCUUUUUCUACAUCUUUUGAUGUUAUCAUGUGGUUUUCCUAUUUAAUAUGAUAAUAUGGUAGAUUACAUUGAUUUUUGAUGUAUUCUUUUUAUGAAAUCUGUUCUUUUUAUACAGAUCUUUCUAUAACAAGAUAAAAAAGAAUGGGAUGGAAUACUGUUGUAGAAAAAGGUUCUGAAGCCUUAUUCAAGCUCAGCAGGCAGCAAUGGAGAAUUGAGGAGAGAUACCUAACCUAGGGGCAGGAGGGCAAGUGACUGCCAUACACCUGCAGCCGCCAUCUCAUCCCUCAGUGGUGAUGCAUUCAGUAAAGUGCUGGAAAUACGGUGAUGAACUAGAUAAAGUUCCUGAGCUCCUAGUGAUGAGAUCUACCUUCUGGAAACUUAGGAUCUGCAAUGGCCUCUUCCAGAUGAGCCUCGUCUUCAUUCAAGAUGCACCUCCAGGCUCCUGGACAUCAAUGAAUAAUCUAACAAUAUUGGGAAGAAACAAGCAUGAGGAAUGUGGCCCAAAAGUUGAGAGUAAGACUCAGAGUCAACCCGCCCAUCUCCAAGUAUAAAUGUGCAUCAGAUUAUGAGAACACAAGAGCUGAGGGAAAUUUCCCAUGCCUUCCAUAAAGCAAUUUUGACCUCUCUACUUCAAGAUAUUUGCUUUCCCUCUGAACUCAUAUGCUUUAUCAGUAGACUCACCAAUUUGAUAGCUAUUAUAUAUGUAAAAAGAAAAAGAGAGAAAAGAAAAGAACAAUAAAUUUUAAAGCAUCUGCUA